rnacentral:rRNA from 1 species
GGAUUAGAUACCCUGGUAGUCCACGCCCUAGACGAUGUGCGCUAGAUGUCGGGGGACUUGUCCUUCGGUGUCGGAGCUAACGUGUUAAGCGCACCGCCUGGGGAGUACGGCCGCAAGGCUAAAACUCAAAGGAAUUGACGGGGGCUCACACAAGCGGUGGAGCAUGUGGCUUAAUUCGAGGCAACGCGAAGAACCUUAUCCUGGAUUUGACAUGUAUGGAUUAGCGCUUGGAAACUUGCGUAACGCGGCUUGCCGUGGAACAUACACAGGUGCUGCAUGGCUGUCGUCAGCUCGUGCCG